rnacentral:misc_RNA from 1 species
UCCGAGUUGACCCCGGCAGUCUCCUAUGAGUCCCCGGCAUUACCCGCUGGCAACAUAGGACGAGGGUUGCGCUCGUUGCGGGACUUAACCCAACAUCUCACGACACGAGCUGGCGACAACCAUGCACCACCUGUGCACGGCCCUUACGGACCCCGCAUCUCUGCGAGAUUUCCGUGCAUGUCAAGCCUAGGUAAGGUGGGGAUGACGUUCUUGCUAGGUAA